rfam:Schistosoma margrebowiei strain Zambia genome assembly, scaffold: SMRZ_scaffold0001827
AGCUUUCCGAAUCCGUGCUGAUAUUUCGUCCGAUACCAACCCAUUAGGGCUGAUCAGACUUCCAAGAUAAGUGAAGUU